UGGCGGCGUGCCUAAUACAUGCAAGUCGAGCGGACCGACGGGAGCUUGCUCCCUUAGGUCAGCGGCGGACGGGUGAGUAACACGUGGGUAACCUGCCUGUAAGACUGGGAUAACUCCGGGAAACCGGGGCUAAUACCGGAUGCUUGAUUGAACCGCAUGGUUCAAUCAUAAAAGGUGGCUUUCAGCUACCACUUACAGAUGGACCCGCGGCGCAUUAGCUAGUUGGUGAGGUAACGGCUCACCAAGGCGACGAUGCGUAGCCGACCUGAGAGGGUGAUCGGCCACACUGGGACUGAGACACGGCCCAGACUCCUACGGGAGGCAGCAGUAGGGAAUCUUCCGCAAUGGACGAAAGUCUGACGGAGCAACGCCGCGUGAGUGAUGAAGGUUUUCGGAUCGUAAAACUCUGUUGUUAGGGAAGAACAAGUACCGUUCGAAUAGGGCGGCACCUUGACGGUACCUAACCAGAAAGCCACGGCUAACUACGUGCCAGCAGCCGCGGUAAUACGUAGGUGGCAAGCGUUGUCCGGAAUUAUUGGGCGUAAAGCGCGCGCAGGCGGUUUCUUAAGUCUGAUGUGAAAGCCCCCGGCUCAACCGGGGAGGGUCAUUGGAAACUGGGGAACUUGAGUGCAGAAGAGGAGAGUGGAUUCCACGUGUAGCGGUGAAAUGCGUAGAGAUGUGGAGGAACACCAGUGGCGAAGGCGACUCUCUGGU
rnacentral:rRNA from 1 species